rnacentral:rRNA from 1 species
CUGUGACUCCUACGGGGAGCAGCAGUGAGGAAUAUUGGUCAAUGGACGCAAGUCUGAACCAGCCAUGUCGCGUGCAGGAAGACUGCCCUAUGGGUUGUAAACUGCUUUAUACGGGAAGAAAUAUAGCUACGUGUAGUUAUUUGCCGGUACCGUAUGAAUAAGCAUCGGCUAACUCCGUGCCAGCAGCCGCGGUAAUACGGAGGAUGCGAGCGUUAUCCGGAUUCAUUGGGUUUAAAGGGUGCGUAGGCGGAAGUAUAAGUCAGGGGUGAAAGUUUGUGGCUCAACCAUAAAAUUGCCUUUGAUACUGUAUUUCUUGAGUACAUUUGAGGUAGGCGGAAUGUGUUGUGUAGCGGUGAAAUGCUUAGAUAUAACACAGAACACCGAUUGCGAAGGCAGCUUACUAAACUGUAACUGACGCUGAUGCACGAAAGCGUGGGGAUCGAACAGGAUUAGAUACCCUGGUAG